rnacentral:misc_RNA from 1 species
GAUGAAGAACGUAGUGAAAUGCGAUAAGUAAUGUGAAUUGCAGAAUUCAGUGAAUCAUCGAAUCUUUGAACGCACAUUGCGCCCGCCAGUAUUCUGGCGGGCAUGCCUGUUCGAGCGUCAUUACAACCCUCAGGCCCCCGGGCCUGGCGUUGGGGAUCGGCGGAGCCCCCCGUGGGCACACGCCGUCCCCCAAAUACAGUGGCGGUCCCGCCGCAGCUUCCAUCGCGUAGUAGCUAACACCUCGCGACUGGAGAGCGGCGAGGCCACGCCGUAAAACACCCAACUCUUCUGAAGUUGACCUCGAAUCAGGUAGGAAUACCCGCUGAACUUAAGCAUAUCAAUAAGCGGAGGA